rnacentral:rRNA from 1 species
GCGGAGGAAAAGAAACUAACAAGGAUUCCCCUAGUAACGGCGAGUGAAGCGGGAAGAGCUCAAAUUUGUAAUCUGGCCCUUUCAGGGUCCGAGUUGUAAUCUCGAGAAGUGUUUUCCGCGCCGGACCGCAUACAAGUCUGUUGGAAUACAGCGUCAUAGUGGUGAGAGCCCCGUAAUUGAUGUGGAUGCCCGGUGCUUUGUGAUACACUUUCGAAGAGUCGAGUUGUUUGGGAAUGCAGCUCAAAUUGGGUGGUAAAUUCCAUCUAAAGCUAAAUAUUGGCGAGAGACCGAUAGCGAACAAGUACCGUGAGGGAAAGAUGAAAAGCACUUUGGAAAGAGAGUUAACAGUACGUGAAAUUGUUGGAAGGGAAACGCUUGAAGUCAGACUUGCUAUUCGGAAUUCAGCCGCAAGGUGUACUUUUCGAUUUGCAGGCCAGCAUCAGUUUUUGGGGGUGGAAAAGGGUGGAGAGAAGGUAGCAACCUUGGUUGUGUUAUAGCUCUUUACUGGAUUCAUCUUUGGGGACUGAGGAUCGCAGUGCGCAAUUUACUUUGCAAACCUUUCGAGGUUUUCGUACUUAGGAUGCUGGUGGAAUGGCUUUAAACGACCCGU